rnacentral:rRNA from 1 species
AGAGUUUGAUCCUGGCUCAGGACGAACGCUGGCGGCGCGCCUAACACAUGCAAGUCGAACGGAGCUGUUUUCUCUGAAGUUUUCGGAUGGAAGAGAGUUCAGCUUAGUGGCGAACGGGUGAGUAACACGUGAGCAACCUGCCUUUCAGUGGGGGACAACAUUUGGAAACGAAUGCUAAUACCGCAUAAGACCACAGUGUCGCAUGGCACAGGGGUCAAAGGAUUUAUCCGCUGAAAGAUGGGCUCGCGUCCGAUUAGCUAGAUGGUGAGGUAACGGCCCACCAUGGCGACGAUCGGUAGCCGGACUGAGAGGUUGAACGGCCACAUUGGGACUGAGACACGGCCCAGACUCCUACGGGAGGCAGCAGUGGGGAAUAUUGCACAAUGGGGGAAACCCUGAUGCAGCGACGCCGCGUGGAGGAAGAAGGUCUUCGGAUUGUAAACUCCUGUCCCAGGGGACGAUAAUGACGGUACCCUGGGAGGAAGCACCGGCUAACUACGUGCCAGCAGCCGCGGUAAAACGUAGGGUGCAAGCGUUGUCCGGAAUUACUGGGUGUAAAGGGAGCGCAGGCGGAUUGGCAAGUUGGGAGUGAAAUCUAUGGGCUCAACCCAUAAAUUGCUUUCAAAACUGUCAGUCUUGAGUGGUGUAGAGGUAGGCGGAAUUCCCGGUGUAGCGGUGGAAUGCGUAGAUAUCGGGAGGAACACCAGUGGCGAAGGCGGCCUACUGGGCACUAACUGACGCUGAGGCUCGAAAGCAUGGGUAGCAAACAGGAUUAGAUACCCUGGUAGUCCAUGCCGUAAACGAUGAUUACUAGGUGUGGGAGGAUUGACCCCUUCCGUGCCGCAGUUAACACAAUAAGUAAUCCACCUGGGGAGUACGACCGCAAGGUUGAAACUCAAAGGAAUUGACGGGGGCCCGCACAAGCGGUGGAGCAUGUGGUUUAA